rnacentral:rRNA from 1 species
UGCGGCAAGCUUACACAUGCAAGUCGAACGGUAGCACAUAGAAGCUUGCUCCUUGGGUGACGAGUGGCGGACGGGUGAGUAAUGCUUGGGAAUCUGGCUUAUGGAGGGGGAUAACUACUGGAAACGGUAGCUAAUACCGCGUAAUGUCUACGGACUAAAGGGUGGGACCAUUUGGCCACCUGCCAUAAGAUGAGCCCAAGUGGGAUUAGGUAGUUGGUGAGGUAAAGGCUCACCAAGCCCGCGAUCUCUGGCUGGUCUGAGAGGAUGACCAGCCACACUGGAACUGAGACACGGUCCAGACUCCUACGGGAGGCAGCAGUGGGGAAUAUUGCACAAUGGGGGGAACCCUGAUGCAGCCAUGCCGCGUGAAUGAAGAAGGCCUUCGGGUUGUAAAGUUCUUUCGGUGACGAGGAAGGCGAUUGUUUUAAUAGAACAGUCGAUUGACGUUAAUCACAGAAGAAGCACCGGCUAACUCCGUGCCAGCAGCCGCGGUAAU